rnacentral:rRNA from 1 species
GCAACAAACUACUCACAUGUAAGUAUUGAAGGAUACAUCUUGGAACGAUGAAGUUUCCAAUCCUCAGGGCAAAUGAUAGAAAACCAGCUGGUGAACAUAAUUGCAACCUGUUGUCAAUACCAGCAACAAACUACUCACAUGUAAGUAUUGAAGGAUACAUCUUGGAACGAUGAAGUUUCCAAUCCUCAGGGCAAAUGAUAGAAAACCAGCUGGUGAAGCUGCUUAUCGCCUCGCGUCGAACUUUUCAGUUCAGGAUAUUAUCUCCUUAUUUUUUGCUAUGUUCUGUUUAGGUUCAUUAUAUGAUGCCGUUUGAACAUUUACCCUUGUUGAUAAAAGAUAAGUAGAUUUAGCAUACUCCUUCAGAGGGCCGCGCCUUGCUCGGUUGGCAAGGUGGUGAGCGAUCCGAGUUUGCCUCUGUGAUGUGUGCUUAUAUUAAGGUGGAUAAAAUCUACCCCGUAACACGCAAAAAGAAAAUGUGGUGCAAUGAGAGAGGAGAUGUAGGGCUAUGUGUGGCACUGGGAAGAAGAAGACACAAAUCCAAGGCGGUGCAAGGGGCACAAUGAGAGCACCAUGGGUGAAACAAACCGUGGUGGGAGGGUGCCACUGGCAUGGACACAUCUAGCUUGCGAGAAGGGUGUUUAACAAAAUCUCAGUUUAGAUUGUUAUGAAAUUUUAGUUUAGACCAUUUGUAUCUAAAACUAUACAUGUUAUUAUGACGGCUAUUAUGAAAAAAAUGAUUUGGUAAUUAGGAGAAGAAAUUCAUAAGAUUACGUGCGUUGCACGUGCACGCUUACUAGUAUAAAUGGGUUGUGGUCGCUUUUUUUCUCUCUAAAUGUUCCCAGCCAGUUUUGUGAAGCUUCUAGAGGCUUUUGACCGUCUUGGGCCAUUAUGCUGUCGAAUUGAGCCGCCCCAGAAUUGCGAGCACAGCCGAAUCACGACCGAGCGCUGGCCUAGUUCUUGGGUCGGCCUGAGCGAGGCGCACGAGCGGUGACACUAUCCUCUACUUCUAGUAUCUUAGUUGGUAGUCUCCGCCGAUCAAUUUUUGUUUCACUUAUCAUGGUUUUUUUCGUCCUCCCUUUCACCUUCCACCUGAACCGACGAGCUGCAAAAAAAAAACUCAAAGUAAACCACCUAGGAUGCCUCUACUUACUCCCCUCGCAAGCAACAGAACCAGACGAAAAAAAAUCUACAAAGAAAAAUCAGCGAAAAAAACGGGCACGACCCGCACGCACGCACGGCAGAACGCACGGUGCCUUGAGCGACUACCUCCCGCACGCAAAAAAAAACGCACCCACCACCUCCGCUCUCCUCCUAGGGCGACACUGGGGCGCCCCCCAACCCUAGCCGUCACAGACCCCCACCACAACCACGCCUUCGCCGCCGGUGGCGGCGAAGGCGGCUCCUCAAAGCAGGGACGCGUCUCCCGUCGAAAUCCAAGUCCGUUCGCGCGAGCUUCUCCGCCCCUCGAUCCGAUCUUCACCUUCGCUCAUGGUGGCCGUCAGCUGGCCUCCCGCCGGCGGCCAACUUGAUCUGCGCGGCACUCGGCUGCCCGCAUGGCCUACCUCCUCCCCAUCGCGGCACUCGUUGGCCGCCGUUGGGCCUGCUUGCGGCGCACAGGUCGGGUCACGCGCGACGGCUACAUCAUCGCCGGAUCUGUCUUUCCGUCCGACUGCGACCCCAACCCCAGCACCCUCAAUCCACCGCCCGCUUCCCCCACUCCCGCUUGACUCCAUGGGGCCCUAAGGUCGAUAGCGCCGAGGAGGAGUCAGAGACGGCACUGGGGGAAAGAGCAGCGAGGCCGGAGGCCCAGACGGCGCUCGCGUCAUGUGUCUAACGCUGCUCGUCGACCCUCGUUAUCGUCCUCAAUCUAGCAUGAUGUGUGAAGAUCUGAGACAGAAAAGAAGAUGAAGAAUUUUGACAAAGAGUUGGGUCAUGGGGAACAAGCAGGGUUUAUUUCCUCGGUUAGUUGCUGGGUCAUCUAUGUCGUUGACUAUUAAGUGCGCGGGCAACUGAACGGAUCUCCAAUCUAGCGUCCUCCCUAUGGCACCGCUCCACCGUGCCGACCAGCAUUGAAUAUGCCAUCGAUCUGCCAAGAAGCCGCCUAUCGAUCUGCCAAGCAGCCGCCACGGGAUGGUCAUCCAGAACGCUAUCCUGCCUCCAUUCAAGCUCAGUUGUAUUGCCGACUGAUGCAACCAUGUGCUGAUCUGCCGGCAGUGAGCGGGCAGAGUUGAGGGAAGGCGGCCAGCUGCCUGGCGGGUGCACCGGCGAGCACAACGUGGAAGAGCCUGACAGCCCGUCCACUACCAGCUUAGUUGCUGACUCUUUGAUUGUCGUGCUGCCCCGUGCAAUGGCCAGCUGGUGAAGGGGAAGCCAUCGGAUUUAUAGGACUUUGUUGGCAUCACCACCAUGCUUGUUAUCACAAUCAGUUUCACUGAGGAAAAAACUGCCAGCGACGUCUGCCCCUGUGCUCAUCAAGGAUUCCACUCUCCCUCUCUCUGUUGGCUGGUCCUGCCCAUGAAUAGGAUAAAUCACAGCCGUGGGGGUGCGCGGGUCCCAGCCAUGCGAUGUCCGGUUGUCGGAGCUUGACGCCCCAUGGGCGACGGUGCUGACCCACCCCCCUGGUGCCAACCCCCUGUCGAGCCAGCAGCCCUGGGCAGAGGAAGGCCACCCAGUCAUUGUUUUCUCCACGAACAGACCAGCACUUGAUCGACGUCUUCAGAGUGUUGGUGCUCUGCCUUUCAGCAGCAGCAACACUUCAGCGAAGUGGGCGGUUUUGUUGGGACAACGGAAUCCGCUCAUCUGAAGUGAAACUGGGAAUUGGACGAGCGCUCUUCUACUCAGCUACUCGGACAUGCCCUCAAGGUCUCAGCUCAUGAGCCUCCCACUCUUCCUUGUGAAGCAGCAAAUGCAACAUACCUAAAGGGAAGCAUUCGCACACUCACGUUUGGCAUGUUCCAUAAGCAGACCUGUCGUCAUUGGUUGAGAUUUUGUUCUUUAGCAUAGGUUCAUGAAUGCCAAGCGCAUCCUAUCAACAUCAUCAAACUUUGGGCUCUGGCAGUUUGCUCUGUUUGUGAGGAUGGGUCAGUAGUGCGCUCACCAAGUGGACAGCGGUAGAAGCAACACUCAAAAGGAGCGACACAACAAAGACAGAGGACGACAUCGAGCGGAGGCUAUAUAGAAUGAUUGCAGGUUUUAACCAAGAAGUCCUCAAUAGGUGGACUGGCUCAAAAUGGAGAAGCAUGCUGGUAGCUUUUCUGUUGAUUGUAUUAAGCAUUUAAGUUCGUAGCAAUUCAUAACGUCAAAUCAUUGGGAUGCUUUGUAAUAUUUUAGAAAACUGUGUUUCUUUGCCGGAUCUAGCGUGCUGUCUAUAGAUGUGCUUACCUAUUUCCUUCUCACAUAUGGAAUGGGUUUUCGGAUAGCCUAGACAUACGAGACAAUUUGGGGGUGUCGAUUCUCUCUCUCUCUCUCUCUCUCUCAUAGAAUAAUGAACAACCAAUAAGACUAAUAUUAUAUACCUUCUCAUCAGUCCUACCGUGCA